rnacentral:lncRNA from 1 species
GAAAAAAACAUUGAAGACCACAUAACAUGUUGAUAAGAUGACACUGGAGUUAUGCACAUGUGAUGCGGAGUGUUUGUGUUUGUUUCUUUAAGUGUCUAAAAUGAAUAGCAAAGUUGUGAUUUGCAAUGAUUGCUUAGGGUCAGUCCAGUAACAAUACGCCAAUGAAGUGCUUUCCUUUAACAAUGCAAAGUGAAGUGUCCACCUCCACAGCCACAAUUUAAAAAAUUAAUGUUAUAAUAAUAAUAAUAAUAAUAAUAAUAAUAAUAAAUAGUCCACUGAUAUUAGCAAUCACAGAAAAUUAUAUCACCAUCCCAAAUAAAACUUUAAUAAAACAUGCCAGCAUUAUUGUCUAACAAUAAAACAGCUUGUCAGCGUUCAGUUUUUUUGCAACAGCACAACAGUAACCAUUUAACACUUGCCACGCUCAACGUUUAUUUUACCAGUGUUUGGGCAAAAAACUUGGGUUGUAAACAUUUUAACAUGGAAACAAUUGUUCGUCUUUAAAAGUCCGCAGAAUAUACAUUCAUCCUGCAUUCCUAACUUAUCCUUAUUCUUAGUAUGUAUUGCAAUUACCUUUACAAUGCACACAAUGUAACACAAACAGAAUAUGGACAUAUUUCCACCUCAUAACAAUAUGCCUUGAACGCUAAUAUACACACCACCCUUCAACAUUUCUGGUGCAGUAUCAUUAAGUGUGCCUAUGCCAAGAGGCACACUUAUUACUAUUCCUCGGAUUUAUUAUUCUUAUUAUGUGUGCCUAUGCCAAGAGGCACACAUAUUACUAUUCGUCGGAUUUAUUAUUAUGUGUGCCUAUGCCAAGAGGCACACAUAUUACUAUUCGUCGGAUUUAUUAUGUGUGCCUAUGCCAAGAGGCACACAUAUUACUAUUCCUCGGAUUUAUUAUUAUUAUGUGUGCCUAUGCCAAGAGGCACACAUAUUACUAUUCCUCGGAUUUAUUAUUAUUAUUCUUCAGUUUCCGCCUGAAAUUUUGCAGCGAAUCUCGCCCCGCAGUUUUCAGACAAGCUUCAUAUAUGUUACCUCAUUUUGUGCGGCUGGAUCUGGAAUGGUGUGCUAUGACUUUUGGUGUUUAUGA